rnacentral:tRNA from 1 species
GGGGAUGUAGCUCAGCUGGGAGAGCACCUCAAUGGCAUUGAGGGGGUCACGAGUUCGAUUCUCGUCAUCUCCACCA